rnacentral:rRNA from 1 species
AUACGUAGGGGGCGAGCGUUGUCCGGAAUUACUGGGCGUAAAGGGCGCGUAGGCGGUCUGUUAAGUUAGAUGUGAAACCCCCGGGCUUAACCCGGGGCAUGCAUCUAAAACUGGGAGACUUGAGUGCAGGAGAGGAAAGCGGAAUUCCUAGUGUAGCGGUGAAAUGCGUAGAUAUUAGGAGGAACACCAGUGGCGAAGGCGGCUUUCUGGACUGUAACUGACGCUGAGGCGCGAAAGCGUGGGGAGCAAACAGGAUUAGAUACCCUGGUAGUCCACGCCGUAAACGAUGGAUACUAGGUGUAGGAGGUAUCGACCCCUUCUGUGCCGCAGUUAACGCAAUAAGUAUCCCGCCUGGGGAGUACGGCCGCAAGGUUGAA